AUGGAAGAUUUUGAGGAUUUUUUAACUGAAGCUGAUUUGGUAGACCUACCAUUAAAAGGGAGGAGGUUUACAUGGUCAAACUUGAGUGGGUCAUCGAUGAGUAGAAUUGAUAGGAUGUUGUUGUCGGAGCGAUGGUUCCAUCAUUGGCCGGAGUGUUAUCAAAGGUGUCUGGAGAAAGGAUUAUCUGAUCAUUACCCUAUAAUGCUUUUUGAUAAAGUUGAGAAUUGGGGCCCGAAAUCAUCUCGUAUAUUUGACAUUUGGAGAGAGUUAGAAGGAUAUCGUAAGGUUGUCGAAGAUUCUUGGAAUUCUAUGGAUGUGCAAGGAUGGGAGGAUAUGUUCUUAAAGAAAAGCUUAAGAAGAUUAAAGGGACUCUUAAAGUUUGGAGUAAAGGUCACUCGGAGAAUCUUGAUCAGAAAAUAG